GCUUGUCUCAAAGAUUAAGCCAUGCAUGUCUAAGUAUAAACGACUUUAUACUGUGAAACUGCGAAUGGCUCAUUAUAUCGGUUAUAGUUUAUUUGAUGGUCCUUGCUACUUGGAUAACCGUAGUAAUUCUAGAGCUAAUACAUGCGUCAAAACCCGACUCCUGGGAGGGUUGUAUUUAUUAGAUGGAAACCAAUGCGGGGCAACCCGGUAUAUGGUGAUUCAUAAUAACUUUCGGAUCGAUCUUCGGAUCGAUGCAUCAUUCAAGUUUCUGCCCUAUCAGCUUUGGAUGGUAGGGUAUUGGCCUACCAUGGCUUUAACGGGUAACGGAGAAUUAGGGUUCGAUUCCGGAGAGGGAGCCUGAGAAAUGGCUACCACAUCCAAGGAAGGCAGCAGG
rnacentral:rRNA from 1 species